UACGAAGGGGGCUAGCGUUGCUCGGAAUCACUGGGCGUAAAGCGCACGUAGGCGGACUCUUAAGUCGGUGGUGAAAUCCUGGAGCUCAACUCCAGAACUGCCUCCGAUACUGCGAGUCUUCGAGUCCGGGAGAGGUGAGUGGAACUGCGAGUGUAGAGGUGAAAUUCGUAGAUAUUCGCAAGAACACCAGUGGCGAAGGCGGCUCACUGGCCCGAUACUGACGCUGAGGUGCGAAAGCGUGGGGAGCAAACAGG
rnacentral:rRNA from 1 species